CGCCAUCUUGGGUAGGGGCAGCAGCUUUGGCCGUGGCCGGGCGCCGCGGGCUGGAGUGGUAUUGCGACGCUGCCCGCGCAUGUUGAAUUGUCCCGCGUGUCCGCCGUUGCGGGCCCCACACCUGUCCGCAAAACCCCGCCCAGGGCCCCGCCCCGGAAGGGUGAGGGGUGCUGGGGCCAGCCGCGACCCAACAGGGCCGGCAGGGUGGGCGGCCGGCCGCAGGCAAAGCUCCGGAGAGGUUUCUCUCCUUUUUCUUUUUUUAAACGAUUACGUGGGCGGGGGGAACCAGCCCUGGAGGAGCGUCUGCGAGGCUUGCUGACCCGGCCCGGACUUUCCCAUCAGCUCAGGCGCCCACCCGCUUGAACCCCGGCUGACAGGAGCUCGUCUGGCACGGGAGGAGACCUGCAGGCUCUGGGCUGGAGGACCUCCCACCGGAAGGGCUCACGUCCGUGCUGCCCUCCUAGACCCAGGGAAGCGCCCGGGCUAGGUGCCGUGGCUGUGGGAUCAGAGCCGUCCCGCCUCGCAGUGGGGAGAACUUUUGCUCUCAGGGAACAUCAAGAGAAUGACUGUAUAAAGAAAAAAA